UACGUAGGGGGCAAGCGUUAAUCGGAAUUACUGGGCGUAAAGCGCACGCAGGCGGUCUGUCAAGUCGGAUGUGAAAUCCCCGGGCUCAACCUGGGAACUGCAUUCGAAACUGGCAGGCUAGAGUCUUGUAGAGGGGGGUAGAAUUCCAGGUGUAGCGGUGAAAUGCGUAGAGAUCUGGAGGAAUACCGGUGGCGAAGGCGGCCCCCUGGACAAAGACUGACGCUCAGGUGCGAAAGCGUGGGGAGCAAACAGG
rnacentral:rRNA from 1 species